rnacentral:misc_RNA from 1 species
GAAAUGCGAUAAGUAAUGUGAAUUGCAGAAUUCAGUGAAUCAUCGAAUCUUUGAACGCACCUUGCGCUCCUUGGUAUGCCUUGGAGCAUGCCUGUUUGAGUAUCAUGAAAUCUUCAAAGUAAAUCUUUUGUUAACUCAAUUGGUUUCUACUUUGGUAUUGGAGUUCUUUGCAGCUUCACACCUGCUCCUCUUUGUUCAUUAGCUGGAUCUCAGUGUUAUGCUUGGUUCCACUCGGCGUGAUAAGUUAUCUAUCGCUGAGGACACUGUAAAAGGUGGCCAAGGUAAAUGCAGAUGAACCGCUUCUAAUAGUGCAUUGACUUGGACAAUACUUUUAUGAUCUGAUCUCAAAUCAGGUAGGACUACCCGCUGAACUUAAGC